AUGCUUCCUGUGAUUGAGUGGUGGAUGAUGGCUACGACUUCGUUUAUUGGGCGGUGCUUUCAUCGGAGACCGGAAGUCCGUUGCAUUUUGGAGGGUACGACGAAUGUCGCUUCGUGUUUUGGAACCAAUAUUUCUUCUUUUUCAAUAAUAACCUGCAAACAUAACCAAAAGACAAUAGAAAAAGAAUUGCACAGUAAACAACGACAAUGGCGAUUACGAAUCUGCUCCUUGCUUUUCAAAAUCCAACUCUUAUUUUGGUUUUUUGAAGGAAUAGUUUGCGUUACAAAUUUGUAUUUGUGA